AGAGUUUGAUCCUGGCUCAGAUUGAACGCUGGCGGCAUGCCUUACACAUGCAAGUCGAACGGCAGCACGGGGGCAACCCUGGUGGCGAGUGGCGAACGGGUGAGUAAUACAUCGGAACGUGCCCAGUAGUGGGGGAUAGCCCGGCGAAAGCCGGAUUAAUACCGCAUACGACCUACGGGUGAAAGCGGGGGAUCGCAAGACCUCGCGCUAUAGGAGCGGCCGAUGUCAGAUUAGGUUGUUGGUGAGGUAAUAGCUCACCAAGCCGACGAUCUGUAGCUGGUCUGAGAGGACGACCAGCCACACUGGGACUGAGACACGGCCCAGACUCCUACG
rnacentral:rRNA from 1 species